AUCCCGGAGACCCUUAGGAAACUAGGGGUGCUUCCAUCUGGAAGAAUCUGGAGACAGGUGCUGCAUGGCUGUCGUCAGCUCGUGUCGUGAGAUGUUGGGUUAAGUCCCGCAACGAGCGCAACCCUUGCCUUUAGUUGCCAGCAGUUCGGCUGGGCACUCUAAAGGGACUGCCGGUGUUAAACCGGAGGAAGGUGGGGAUGACGUCAAGUCCUCAUGGCCUUUAUGACCAGGGCUACACACGUACUACAAUGGCCGAUACAAAGGGCAGCGACACUGCGAGGUGAAGCCAAUACCCGUAAAAUCGGUCUCAGUCCGGAUUGGAGUCUGCAACUCGACUCCAUGAAGUUGGAAUCGCUAGUAAUCGUGGAUCAGCAUGCCACGGUGAAUACGUUCCCGGGCCUU
rnacentral:rRNA from 1 species